rfam:Ovis aries breed Texel chromosome 5, whole genome shotgun sequence.
UCCCUGGUCGCUCAGAUGGUAAAGCGUCUGCCUACAAUGCGGGAGACCCGGGUUCGAUCCCUGGGUGGGGAA